rnacentral:rRNA from 1 species
UCAGACGAUGCGUCAUGCAUAUCAAUAAGCGGAGGAAAAGAAACUAACAAGGAUUCCCCUAGUAACGGCGAGUGAAGCGGGAAGAGCUCAAAUUUGAAAUCUUAAAGGGUUUCCCUUUACGAAUUGUAGUUUAAAGAAGUGUUUUCUGUUGAGGUUUUGGUAAAAGUUCUUUGGAAUAGGACAUCAUAGAGGGUGAGAAUCCCGUAUUUGACCUUUACUUUCAACUUUGUGAUACACUUUCAAAGAGUCGGAUUGUUUGGGAAUGCAGUCCAAAAUGGGUGGUAAAUUUCAUCUAAAGCUAAAUAUUGGCGAGAGACCGAUAGCGAACAAGUACCGUGAGGGAAAGAUGAAAAGAACUUUGAAAAGAGAGUUAAACAGUACGUGAAAUUGUCAAAAGGGAAGCGUUUGACACCAGUGUUGUUUUUCUGAAAAUCAAUUAAAGAACUGUUUAUGCUAAGUUGUUUAGACUUUAUCAGCUAAUCUGCUUAGUUUUGAGCUUUUCUUUAAUGCACUUUUCAGUUAACAAGUCAACAUCAAUUUCUUUUGCUGUAAAAAAGCUUGAGGAAGGUGGCUUGAGAUUCGUCUUAAGUGUUUAUAGCCUCUUGCCUAUGCAGUCGGAGAGAUUGAGGUCUGCAGCGUAGAUCCUUCGGGGCUAAAUGCAUUUGUGCUAAGUUAUAGCAUUUUAUAGACAACUUGUUGACUAUGAUUUGUCUUGUAGCUUACUCGCUUAUGUUAUUUUACCUACGCUUAGGAUGUUGACACACGCGCGUGCUCG